GACAGCCAGGGCAUCUUAUGCACCCCUGAAGUAGUCCCAUCCACCGCAUCUGUAUCAGUUCAGAAUGUAUAUCCUUCUCAGACCGUAAUCUGGCCAGGGAGCGGACUGUUUGAAGGUGACGAAGCAAUACUAGACAGCGUUUUGGAUUACGGGAACGAGAGUGGACUUCUAUCUCAAUCUGAAAAUUAUCACAACAGACAGGCCCGAGACACCUCCGACUAACGAGUGCAGACCAGAACCCGCUCACAAGGUGGACAAGGCUACUUGUACCAGCGAAGACGGUGUCUACCCGCUACUCGUCAUACCCGACACGCCAGAAAAGCAAGGCAGACAACCGGCUAACACUAAAGAAGCUGACACUGACGGAGGACCAUCUGGAUCCAAAAUUAGCAUACCAGAAGCGCCAGAGAAAGCAGUGAC